rnacentral:rRNA from 1 species
AUGUUGUAUCAUGCAAAUGCAUCUGAACAUAAUUUUCUCCAUAUGUCUCAUGGAUUAUUCAAUACAGCUACCUUUUUCUAUUUAACAACAUACAGUAUCCAUGUAAUUUUUGAAAAUACUCCACUAAAUACAAUUCACAGGUGGCGGAAACAUUUUUCGGGAUUCAUCGAUCUAAGCUUUAUUCGCGACCGUUUGGUGGAAAGCUACACUUGGGCCUAUGUGUUGUACUAUGAGAAAGGCUUUGAGCUCCAGCGAAGUAUCACCACCAAGAUGAUUGUACUAAUUACCACUUUAGAUGACACGUAUGAUAUCCGCGCCACCAUAGAGGAAUGUCGAAAGCUACAUGAAGCCAUACAAAGAUGGGAUAAGAUACGCGUUUCUCUUCUACCCGAGUACCUAAAGAAGUUAUAUAUCGAGCUGUUGAGGACCUUCGAAAAUAUUGAGGUUGAAAUGCCAGUCAAUGUGAAUUAUGAUACUGCCUACCUCAAGAAAGCGAUUCAAAAUCAUGUGACUGGUUAUCUCCAAGAAGCGGAAUGGUGUCACACGAAGCAUAAGCCAAGCUUUAAAAAUCAGGUGAAUGUGACUAGCUUAACUAUAGGUGCGCCAACCGUUUGCUUGAGUAUGAUGGCUAGCAUGGAUGAUACCAUAAUGAAAAGAGCAGUUGAGUGGGUAGCCGGUGUCCCUAAUGUCGUCAUAGCAGCAGGAAAGAUUGUGCGUUUCAUGAACGACAUUGCAGCAUAUGAGAACCGAAAGUGCAAGGGGGAUGCGGCAAGCUCCGUGGAGUGUUACAUCCAUGAGUAUGGCGUCACAGGCGAGGUUGCCAUCGCAAGGAUAUAUGAACUGAUUGAAGAUGAAUGGAGAACUCUGAACAAAGCUCGCUUUGAAAACCAUGCAUUGCUCCCCGCGCUGAAGCGUAUUAUCGGCUUGGCCCUUAGCACAUCAUUGUUCUAUGAUAACAGGAACGAUGUGUACACAGACAGCAAGCAUCUUCACAAAACUAUUAAGAGCCUCUUCGUCAAGCCUGUUUUGUCUGGCUAG